GGAAAUCAUUUGAGCGCAGGAGAGAAGACCAAACGGAUUUGUUUCGGAAAACAACCAGAACCUUAGAUUCUCCGGUGCAAAAGUCGGUGCAAAGCCGCAGAAGAACCACAGACUUGGGCUCCCCAAGCUCUCACACGGAUUGGGAAUCGGGAGCACGCCGCUCGUUUCACGGCGCUCCUAUUCGGAGGGUCUCUUUCAUGAUCCUUAAGAAGGAGCCUAGCAGGGUGAAAUCACUGAGAUGAAUUGGAAAUCCAUCUAGCAAGUCUAGGCCCAUUCCAGAAAGUAGAUGUCUGACUGAAGAGAUGGACGGUGAGAAGAGCACAACUGGCAAUUGAACUAUGGACAGAGACCCUCCUACAAAGUAAUUGAGGCAGCUGCAUGUUGUCCCAGUUGAAGCCACCCACUCCACUACACGUUACCAAGAACUGUUUUGCUAGCAAAGAAAAAAAAAAUCCACUGGAUUUCAGUAGCAACUGCUGUUAUUUAUAUUUUUUGGGGGUGGGGGGUAGUGAGGUGGACUUCUCUUAGGUUGAGAGAGUGCUAAAUAACCCCUACUCGAAUUUCCUGACCACCUAUAAUUUAAUGGGAUUUCAAAAGCACUGUUAUGUGAAAAUGAGGAAAUCAUCCCUAAGACUUUGGCCUCAACCACAAAGUUACUGUGCCCUCACCCUGAAACUCUCCACAAAACUCCCGUGUGGGUCACUGAAUGCAAAUAGAUUUAAUUGCCUCAAAAUGACACUUGUUUCAACAGUAGCACAGUCAAUGGGAACAAAUAAAGACUUUUAUUUACACAACAUGAUGAUGGGCUCUGUAGGCAAAUAUACGGGAUACAUCAGAACACUUUUAUAGAGCUGGGUACUUUAGGUUAAGUACUUUGUUGACAAAGUGUCCCUUCACUGUCUGAACUUGCCAUGCUUAGCUUAUGAACCCAGGUCCUUAACAAUGAAACUACUUGACUCCUAAAGUAGCCACCAACAUCUUUGACAAAGACAACACUGAAAGAUUUGUUUGACACCAAUGCGACAACAAUGUCCAUGAGGUGUUGGCCUGCUCAGCCUCUAAGACCAAUGGGACCUUGCGUUACCAGCAGGACUGAUGCGCCUUCAUAACAACGAAAACGCAUACAAUGCACCUUAUCCUCACACAGCAGUGCUAAGAACGCAGUGUUCACACCUGGAAGAAACACCACAUCACGAGAACAUUCUUCAUCCGGUGUAGAUGUCCACAUAAUACACAGUAUGUAUUAUUCAAGAGGUUACUAUUCACUUCUGGGAUUUGAACACUAAACCCUUCAGUUCAUGCUGCAGUAUAUAUAAUUUCUUUCUAAAAUUUCUUCACAAGAAAUCUUUCACAAUGUGCCCUGCAUUUUUUUAUAAUUAUUGAACUGGCUUAUUUAACUGGCCACGCUAGUUUGCUGCCAAAUUAAAGAGCUGUCUGUAACAUCACAUGCAAAUCCUCAGUCUGUAUGAAACAGGUGCCCCUAUAUUUGACUAUGCGCCGUCACUAAUGUGUCUGAGAAGGCAGAGUCUGUGUUAUGUAUUUUAUAGCCCACAGGCAAGAACCACAAGAUGUACUUCGUAUUUUGGAGACUGAGGUGGAAAACAGAGGUGGAAUGUAGCACUUUCCGAUGCAACUUUUAAAAGCAUAACCAAU